CACUGGGAUUAUCAUUGCAACAGCUUCAUCAGAAUUUUCUUCAAAUAUUUAUUCUGAUAUGUAAUCUUAACUGAAGCUUAUUUAGUCACACAAGCAAUAAAAAUGAAAGCAGUGUGCUAUGUUUUAGAAGCCACUAUGCUUUGAUCCUAAGACCUUUGUUUUCCUCUUUUUUUGUUGUUGUUGUUGAUCUACUGAAAUAGACUAUGUGACAGAUUGAAGUAAAAUUGUACUUACAGCUUUUUCUCUUUUCUAAUAGCUAGAAUUAAGUCAAAUUGUUUUACCUUGGAAAUACUGUGUCUAAAAUGAAACAACGUAGCAUAUACAGAGAUACAUAAAUUCUGAAUCUGAGAGCUAAUGUGUUGAAUACUGUUGAUUGUAAUACCUACAAUGAAUAUGGGUAUAUAAAGUAUAUAUGAAUAUAAAACAUAUUUAUUUUUAGAUAAACAUUUAUAACAUACAUAUGCACAUAUUUAUAUACAUCCACAUAUACUAAUAUACAGUGAAAAAGCAAUAUAGACAUAAUAGAUCUUGGCAUAUAUUAAGUACUUUGUAUAUGGGACAAGUAGUAAUGAGUUUGGCAAAUUUUUAGGUGGGGUUUUCCUGCUGCAGAAAGCCAUAUAAUCAAGGUAACUAUUAUAAGGACAUUUAAUUGGGGCUGGCUUACAGGUUCAGAGAUUCAGUCCAUUAUUAUCAAAACUGAAGUUUGGCAGCAUCCAGGCAAGCGUGGUGCAGGAGGAGCUGAGAGUUCUACAUCUUGUCACAAAGAAAAACAAGAGAAGACUGGCUUCCAAGCAACUACAACAAAGGUCUUAAAACCCACAAGUACAUUGACACAUCUACUCCAACAAGGCCACCACUCCUAAUAAUGCCAAUUUCUGAACCAAGCAUAUUCAAACCAUCACAGCAAAUGUGCUUUCAUAUUGACAAGUAUUACCAUCACCAUUUUCUCAAAUACAAGCAUGUCUCAAGAAAAAUGCAUAUUGUGAGAGCUAUUCAAUAUUCGCCAUGAUCUUUAGAUAUUUAUAAUGAAAACAUGCCUAAAACUACAUUUUUGAUAAUUUAAAUAUUUAUUUAUUAUGCAUUUAUUUAUAUCCCAAAUCCUGCCCUUCCUUCUAGGUCCCCCUCACAAUAUUCCUCCACAGUCUCCUUUGCCUCAAGAAGGCACCAUCCCUCUUCUUGUAUUCCCAUGACCUUUAUGCAUCAAAUCUCUGGAGGAUAAGACCCAUGCUUUCCUACUGAGGUCAGACUUAGCAGCAAUCUGCUUUAUAUGUAAGGAGGAUCUUAGGCAAGCCCCUGCAUGCACUUUGUUUGGUGGCUCAGAGUCCAAGAGCUCCCUAGAGUCCUAACCCAUCAUCUGACAGAGAAUUAAUAUCCAAAAUAUAUGAAGAACUCAAGAAGUAGACUACAAAAAAAACCCACCAAUCCAAAAAUUGUUUAUGUAACUAAACAGAGAUUUUCAACAGAGUAAUCUUAAAUGGUCUAGAAGCACUUAAAGAAAUGCUCAAAAUCCUUAGUCAUCAAGAAAAUGAAAAUCAAAAUGACCCGGAGAUUCCACUUUACACCACUCAGAAUGCUUAAGAUCAAAUACUCAAGUGACAACAGAUGUUGGCGAGGAUGUGGUGAAAGAGGAACACUCUCUCACUGUUUGUGAGAUUGUAAACUGGUAAAACCCCUCUGGAAAUCAGUCCGGACGUUUCUCAGAAAAUUAUAAAUAAUUCUACCUGACGACCAGGUAUACCGCUCCUGGACAUAUGCCUAAAAGAUGUCCCACCAUACAACAAGGACACUACUAUGCUCAUAGUAGCUUUAUCCUUAAUAGAAAACUAAAAGUAACCCAGAUGUCUCUCAAGCACAAAAUAUGUAAGGAAAAUAAGGUACUAAACAAUAGAAUACUAUAAAGCUAUUAAAAAUAAGGGCAUUAUGAAUUUUGAAGGCAAGAGGAUGGAACUAGAAAACAUCAUCCUGAGUGAGGUAAAGCAGCCCCAAAAGGAAUUCAUUAUAUGUACUCACUGAUAAGUGGCACUGAUAAGUUGAUAUUAGCCAAAAUUUUAAGAAUACCCAUGUUACACUCCAUAGACACAUGUGAGGCAAAGGAAGAACUGGACCUGCAUGAGAGAGGCAUGACAAGGCAAAAAGGUAGGCAGGAUCAGGUAAGGGAAGAGACAGGAGAGAAUCCCAAAGGACUAAGAGAAUGGAUGGAAACAUGCCACUGCCAAGGGAGGACACUGGGUAGAUUAUGCACAUUCCAAUAUUUUAUCAGAAAUCCACUUUAAAUCUUGUAGGUUGCAUAUUAUAUGAUAUAUUUAGUUAAAAGCUGACUUGCAUCUAAUAACAGGUAUUUCAAAAUGGAAAAAAUGUAUACAUUAUAUAUUUUUAAAAAUAUGCCCAAAGGGCAAAUUUGAAGCUAUACAAAGUGAAUUCUGCAUUAUGAUAUGUCAAAGAACCAUAAGGACCAGGGAACAGAAUUCAAUGGUUUGAAUAAAAUUAUGUGCUCUUAAUGCCAUCUCUCCUCAUUCUCCCAGGAGCCCUAAAGGUGGCCAAUCACAUGUCCACCACUGAAAAAAACAUGUCAAUAAUCUACAUCAAGGAAACAAGGAUCUAUGAGGGUUGGCUUGAAUUGGCUUUUAAAAAAGUACUGUAGGCUGUGGUCAGAAAAGCUGUAUUUGUGCAAGGUUAGACAUUGUAUGUACUUAAUAGAGUCUUCUGCAAAUCUGGGUCAGGCAGUAUCAAAAGCGAAUCCUGGUGGAUGCCUCUUAAUAGUAAGGAAUUACAGCAAAACAAUGAGUAUUUUGGAUCUGUGUCUGUUUCUUCUGGGUCUCCAAUUUUGUACUAGUAUUUCUUAAAGGGAACAUUUUCGGUACUUUGACUCUGUCAUAAGCAUUGGAUCCUUAUGCUGUCUGAGUUUGAUGUUCCAAACAACAGUGACUUUCAGAUCCAAGAAUUAUAAAGGUGAGUACAGUCUUUACUAUACAAAGGAGAUUUUGAGGAAAGAUACCCCAAGACUUUGAGAUGAGACCACCUGCUGCUCCUUAUUUCUCUUUCUCUGUGCAGAAGAAAAGAAAGACAUUUGAGGGUGAUAAUGGGUAACAAGUGUUCCAACAGAAACUUGGUACAGAGGACGGAGAAGCUGAUCACGGAGCCAGACAGUGUUGAUUUAAUGCAAGGAAGACAGAAGUCGGAGGACCCUAAGCUGUGUCAUUCCUGACACAGAAGCUAUAUACUUCACCUUAUAUUCAUUUCAGUGAAACACACUUCUUCCCAUCUCACUACCCUCUGUUUAAGCAUUUCUUUGGGAGUUGAUUUCAUAGAGUUUUUCAAUGAUACUCUUGAAACUGAAUCCUGUCCAGGCCUGUCCUUUCUAUGUAUUAACUAAUUAUUAGUCUGUGUGUUCCCUCUCUAUUUCUUUGAUGAGUCUUUUUUUUUUUUUGUACAGUGAUUACAAAGUCUUUUAUUUCUUCAAAUCAGCUGGAGUCCAAAAAAGACAUUUUAAUUUUGUUAGUAUUUUACUAAUUUGUGACCGUCUAAACUAUCAGAAACGCCUCAAGCACGCACUUCACUCUCUAACUGUUCCCAUUCAUUUCAUGUUUUCUCUCUAAACUCAACUGUGUCAGCUGGAGAUGGGCCUGUUAAUAAUGCCUUAUCCAUAAAGUGUCUAUAGUAACUGCUGAGAAAAGAAAUGAGAAGGGAUCAAUGGGAAUAAAUGAUCCUUAGGCUA